CUAUCUGUCCCGAUUCUAGUUGACUCCGACGCACCUCUUCCGACUUCCAACGUUAUUUUUUGCCGAUUUUCUUCACGUCGUACCUCUACGAACACUUAUCUUGUCAACGGUAAAGGCUUCCUCCCGAGAAUUCGUCCCCUAAUGUUGUCGAGAUCCUGAUUCAGUCCAGCUUCUUCUUGAAUCACGCGCUGUUUCCUGAGCAUUCCCAUUCUUCCUCCGAGCUCAAGUCAAGUACUUGCCACAUAGCUAUCAUUUCAAGGUAAUAUUCGGUGACAUCUCGUUCCCCUUGCCUAGUUUGCCAGAGUUUGUUCUUGAUUUCAAAGAUUUGGGACGAAUUUUCAAAAUUUGAGUAUUUCUCUUUUACUGCAUCCCAUACGUCCUUUGCCUCUGGUAGGAAAAGGUAAGUCUUCCCAAUUGAUGGUUUCAUCGAGUUCACUAGCUAAGCAGUCACCAUAGAAUUCUCUGACCUCCAUUUUUUAAGAAGCACAGUGUUGGUUGAGGCUGGCUUCGGUGUUUCACCAAUUAGGUAACCCAAUUUCCCUUUUCCAUCAAUUAUUAGUUUGAUUGACUAAGCCCAUUCACGGAAAUUCGUCCAUUCAAAUUUUUCAACUGUUAGUUGGGAAGAUGAAUUUUCUCCCGAGCCUAUGGCAGAAGCAAUUUUGGACUCCCCAUUGAGAGAGUCAGAGUUUGUGGAUCCUCUGCUGUUGGCAGGGGCUUUUGACAUGAUUAGGGACAGUUUCACGGCUCUGAUACCAUGAAGAGAGAAACUGUAUAUUUCAUCUUAUUAAAUUUACAACUCACGACAUCUUCUUAUAGUACAAGAAAGGAAAGAACAAAAGAAAAAAAUAAUAAUCCUAGAAUCUAAAAUAUGACAAUAUUUCAACUAUGGAAAGAAUAAAUAAUCUAAAUGGAAAAAUAAAUUAUCUUCAAUCAUUUCGGGAUUUCAACAGUUUAUUUUCUCAAAAUAAAAAUCUAAAAAAGAUAAAGGUAUUCCUGGUGGUCGUUUUUGUCAGCCAGUUAAAAUUUUGACCGUGCGUCAAUGCUAGACUAGAUUUUUAGUGACAAGAGAUGAAAAGAGAGACAAUGAGAGAGUGAGAGGGGAUAAAUUUUUUAGCCUAGUUGAUAGUGGUUAUUGGCACUCACUUUGCUGCUUGAAUUGGUUAUUAAAGAAUACAAGAAAGAUGGGAGGUGAUGCGAGUUGUCCCUUUCAAUCUCAUGUUAUUGUUCUUUGUUAUAGAGAUGUUAUAAGCCAUGCCUUACAGUUUUUAAAGUUCAGUUUUACACAGAUGAAGAGUGUAGAUAAUUGUGAGUGAUUUGCUAUUGAUAUAUUGUACCAUAUUUAGAUUAUUCCUUUGAUAGAUAGUCCAUAAUUUGGGCGAUUUAUUUCUUUCCUAAUUAAGAGAUUUUUUUUCCUUUUUUAUCAUAACAGUUAUAAUUAAAAUAGAAGCCGUAUGAUUGUAAAUAAACCAAGAAAUACAGAAUUCUUCUUCUGAUUUCAUGGUAUCAGAGCUAGGACCGUCCUAAAACCUAGUUACCUCAAUGGAACAAACUGUCGUUAAUAGCAAAUAGUCGACGACCUCCAAAUCACUUAGCAGCGAGGCAGAAGUUGCCUCCACCAUGAACUUGAUUGGAGUACAUAACUCAUCCUUUCAACUCAUGGUGGAAAAACUCAAUGGGAAAAACUAUCGAGAAUGGGCUCAAUCAAUCAGGUUGGUGGUUGACGGAAAGGGAAAGAUUGGUUACCUUAACGGUGAGACAAAACAGCCAACAGACGCAGGCCUUCAAAAAAAAAAUGGAAAUCUGAGAACUCCAUGGUAAUGGCGUGGCUCGUAAAUUCCAUGAAGCCCUCAUCGGAAAAACCUACCUCUUCAUGCUAACGGCGAAAGACAUAUGGGACGUGGUUCGGGAGAUGUAUUCCAAUAGUGAAGAUUCUUCCAAAAAUUUUUAAAUUAAAACCCAAUUGUAGCAAAUGAAGCAAGGUGAGAGGGAGGUCACUGACUAUUAUAUGGAGAUGACGACUCUCUGGCAAGAACUUAACUUGAGUGUUGAAGAAGAGUGGAAGUGCGUAGAAGACGGUGUUGGGUAUAGGAAGUGACUUGAGAACGAAAGGGUGUAUGAACUUCUAGCUGGAUUAGACCGUGACCUGGACGAUGUGAGAGGACGAAUUCUAGGCCGGUGUCCUCUACCGACAACCCACAAGGUGUUCGUCGAAGUCAGGAGGGAAGAAAGCUAUCGAUCGAUUAUGAUGAAAGAUGAGAAAUCAAUUGGGCCUGUUGAAGUUGAUGGAUCAGCCCUUAUAACAAAAGGAUUAGGGCUUAACGAGAAUAAAGAAAUUGGGCCUGAAGGUUUAAAUUCCUGAAAAUUCUUAAAUGGGCCAAAAAAGGUUUGGGCAUAAUGAAUUAACUCAAAUGUCUAGAGGAGAAGCAAAAAUUGGACCAUGCCCGAAACAACAAAAUGGACGAACACGAGAAAUCACAGCUAUCAAGCCUCGAUUGACUCCACCGGAACAAAAAUUAAUCCUACUUCAAGCGGUGCAUUCAGCCAUGAACAAUUAGAUCGACUCUAUAAAAUGUUCUCCAGUUUCCAAACAUCUUGUCUUUCAAGUUCAUUGGCUCAUAAAGGUAAUCUUUUGAAAGUAGUAAGUAGUACCACCCAACCCAAAGCCCCUUGGAUUAUCGGCUCUAGAGCGUCUGAUCACAUGACAGGCUCUCAUCAAUUUUUUUUUCACAUAUUUACCUUGUGCCAGCAAUAUCAAAUUGAAAAUUGCCGAUGACUCACUCUCACCUGUUGCAAGAAAAGGAAGUAUCUGAACCUCUAACUCUAUAACACUUCUAUUCUCCAUGUUCCAAAUUUGUCCUGCAAUCUAUUAUCCAUUAGCCAAUUGACAAAAACUUCAAAUUUCUUUGCUAACUUUCUUCCAUCCUACUUUAUUUUUCACAACCUAUCAUCGGGGAAGACGAUUGGAAGUGCUAAGAAAUGUGAGGGAUUUUACUACUUUGAUGAGACCGACGUGAGUAAACAAUGUCAACUUGCUAAUUGUGAUUCUGCUUUUAUUCCUAGAGAUAGUGAAAUUCUGUUAUGGAACUAUAGAAUGGGACACCCCAAUUUUCGAUAUCUAAAGCAUGUAUUUCCUUUCAUGUUUUCACAUAAAAUGUCUGUCAACAUUCAAUGCGAAGUUUGUGAACUUGCAAAACAUCAACGUUCUUUAUUUCCAAAAUCCACAUACAAACCGUCGAAACCAUUCACUUUAAUCCACAUUGAUGUAUGGGGUCCUUCACGAAUUCUAAAUCGAACUCACACAAAAUGAUUUGUUACAUUUAUUGACGACCAUACUCGGAUUUGUUGGGUAUAGCUAUUAAAAGAAAAGACCGAUGUUCAAUUCAUAUUCAUCAAUUUCCAUCAGGUCGUUCAAACCCAAUUCCAAACAUAAAUUCAAAUUCUGCAUACUGAUAAUGGCACAGAAUACUUCAAUCACACUCUAAAAGACUACCUUCAAAAGAAUGGAAUUAUAUAACAAAGUUCAUAAGUCGACAUUCCCCAACAAAAUGGGAUUGCCAAACAAAAAAAUAGACAUCUUCUUGAGGUUGCUCGUGGCUUAAUGUUCACCACAAAUAUGCCGAAAAAGUUUUGGGAAGAUGCGAUUUUAAUAUCAGCCUACCUCAUAAACAGAAUGCCUAGCUGCACUCUUUCGUUCGAAUCCCCUCUUCUAACAUACCUCUCAAAGUAUUUGGGUGUAUGGCAUUUGUUCACCUAAAUUCCAAUCAUCGAAAUAAACUUGAUCCCCGUGCACUUAAAUGUGCCCUUAUGUGGUAUUCUCCUACUUAAAAGGGCUACAAGUGCUAUGAUCCAAUUACAAAAAGGGUAUUUGUUAGUCUUGACAUCACUUUUUUGAGAAGACCCUUAUUUCCAAGAAUCAUCUCUUCAGGAUGAGAAUUUGAGUGCAGAUAGAUUCUUGGAAAUCACUUUAUUCCCCUCUGAAAAUAUUGAACCACCAUCUUAUUCCAAUAUGCCACUUACGGAAGAAAAAACUCAAGGAAAAGAAAAUGUGGAUAGACAACAUGACAAGGAGAAUUAGUUUACUCACGAAAGCCAAAACCUAGGUACGAGGAGAACAUUACACCUUUCGUACCAAAAGAGUCAGAAUCGGUGAUAGCUCCAGAUUCCCAUGAGUACUCUUCCAAGUCCAAAUCUUCUAAUAUUAAUUUACUUAUUGCUCUCAGGAAACAAACUCGGUCUUGCACUCUCCACCUUGUCUCAAAAUUUGUAUGGUAUAAUGCUCUAUCUGCAAACUUUCAUGUUUUUACCUCUAAUCUUGUCAGCACAAAAAUUCCAAAGAAUAUACAAGAGGUCUUGGAAGCUCUCGAAUGGAGGAAGGCAGUCGUGGAAGAAAUGUGGGCACUAGAGAAAAAUGAAACUUGGUAUGUGACGGAGUUACCUAAAGGAAAGGGACCUAUUGGUUGCAAAUGACUUUUUACUGUAAAAUAUAAAGCUGAUGGGACAAUAGAACGUUAUAAAGCUUGCCUUAUUGCGAAAGGAUAUACCUAGACAUAUGGCAUUGAUUAUAUAGAGACGUUCGCACCCGUAGCCAAAUUAAACACUAUUCGGAUUCUCUUAUCUUUAGUAGCUAAUUUAGAUUGGACUCUCCAACAAUUGGAUAAUAAGAAUGCAUUCCUGAAUGUGGAAUUAGAAGAAGUCUUUAUGACAUUACCGCCAGAGGUCGGAGACAGGAAUGAUGAAAACAAAGUGUGUAAACUCAAAAAAUCUCUAUACGGUCUCAAACAGUCAUCGAGAGCAUGAUUUGACAGAUUUGCAAAAGUAUUGAAAAGUCAAGAAUUUCGACAAAGACAGUCAGAUCAACCAUGUUUUUCCAAGUAUCGAAAGAUGGGAAAAAGACAAUCUUAAUUAUUUAUGUCGACGACAUAAUCCUUACUUGAGAUAAUACAGUUGAAAUGGAAAGAUUCGAGAGAACCCUUGAAAAAGAAUUCGAAGUGAAUGAUUUAGGGCAGAUGAGGUAUUUCUUGGGAAUGGAAUUUGCUAGAUCAAAAAAGGGAAUUAGUUUUUCUCAACGAAAAUAUGUUCUUUAACUCUUGACUGAAACUAGCAUGUUGGGUUGUAAACCAAGGGACACUCCUAUUGAUACAAGCAGGAAAAUAGAAGAAAUUGAAAACCCGAUUGACAAAGAUCAAUAUAAACGACUAGUUGGCAAGUUAAUCUACCUAUCACAUACCGGGCCUGAUAUUGCAUUUGCAAUUAGUGUGGUAAAUCAACAUAUGCAUUCUCUAAAGGAAGUUCAUCUAGAGGCAGUAUAUAAGAUUCUAGAUAUCUUAAAGGUUCUUCCGGAAGAGGACUUUUGUUCAAGAAAAGUGAAAGGAAGUAGAAAUAUUCACAGAUGCUGAUUGGGUAGGAUCAAUAUAAGACAAGAAAUUAACUAUUGGCUAUUGUACCUUUGUAUGGUGAAACUUGAUAAUUUGAAGAAGCAAGAAACAGAAUGUGGCUGCUAGAAACAGUGCCGAAGCUGAGCUCACAACCAUUGCUCAAGCAAUAUUUGAAGGAUUGUGGUUAAAGAAUCUUAUGGAAGAAUUACAUAUUGCUGUAAAACUUCCAAUCAAACUCUUGUGUGAUAAUAAGGCAGCUAUCAACAUCUCCCUUAAUCCAGUUCAACAUGAUAGAACCAAACAUGUAGAAGUUGAUCGACACUUUAUUAAAGAAAAAAUUGAAGAUAGAGUUAUUUGUAUGACUUAUAUUCCUAAAAAAAAAAAAAACAAACCGCAGAUAUCUUCACCAAAGGACUACUACAACAAAGUUUCGAAAACUUCAUCUGCAAGUUGAAUUUGGUCAACAUUUACCAUCCAAUUUAAGGGGGAGUGUGGAUAAUUGUAAUCGAUUUGCUAUUGAUAUAUUGUACCAUAUUUAGAUUAUUCGUUAAAUAGAUAAUCCAUAAUUAGGGUGAUUUAUUUCUCUCCUAAUGAAGAUGCUUUUUCAUUUUUUAUCAUAUUAGUUGUAAUAUAAAUAAAGGUCGCAUGAUUGUAAUAAACUAAGAAAUAUAGAAUUCUUCAUCUUAUUUCAAUGAGAAAAUCCAUAUUUCGAAAAUGGGGUUCACAUGGGAAUCUAUUAUACCAACUAUGGUAUCUCAAAUGAAACCAGGAAUGCUAAUACUCUUUGAUGCAGAUAAUUUUAGGCUAGAUGAGGAUGCACCAGGUGAAGGGACCUGAGAGCAUGGUGCGGAAGCCUUAUAAAAUUCUUGUAAUAAGAAUUAUGUAAUAAAUAAAAACGAUAUUUGAACAAUUAUGUCAUGUAUACGUUGAAUAAUAAUAGAUUGUUGUUGAAAAGUGUACAAUGCCUACAUAAAUAUAGGUAAAAUUAUUCCCUACUUCUACUAAUACUUGAAAACUAAUAAAAGGAAAUUAAAAUAAAUCCCAAUCUUAAAGAAAUUAGAAAUCCUAUUUUAAACAAGAAAUAAGAAUAAACAAAAUAAACCUAUUACAACUAGAUAUCUUAUUAUAAUUAUCUAACUUUUAUCCUAUUUACAAUAGGAUUAUCCUAUAUUAAUCUCUCCCACUUGAAAAAAUUUGUCCUCAAUUUUUGUUGAAGAAAAUAAUCCUUGAUAAUUUGUGUGUUUUCGAACUUGGCUAAGACUCAAGGAAAUUCUCUAGCCAUACGUUUCCGUGUUCUAUGCUUAUUGAAAUAACUAACAUACAUAGUAGUUAAAGUCUUGUCAGCUUGCUUCUCCAUGAGCUCGCGAUUCCUUUCAAGACUCAACUCAAUCAGCAUUUGCGUGAUGUUGUGAUGGGUUUCGUCGAUCCCCUCGAUUUUUUGUUCAUGUUUGUCGACUCUCCGUUCGUCGUCUACGGUUCAAUUACCUUCAGGACCAUCGUCAGCCAUCAGAUUAAGACAAUUUCCUUGCUUUGAUACCAAUUUUGGUGUGGGAGCAUUAUGAAAUUCUGGUAAUAAGAAUUAUAUAAUAAAUAAAAAUGAAAAAUCAUGUCGUGGAUAUAUUGAAUAAUUAUUGAUUAUUGUUGAAAAGUGUACAAUACCUCUAUAAAGGCAAAAUUAUUCCCUACUACUAAUACUUGAAAACUAAUGUAAGGAAAUUAAGAUAAAUCCUAAUCCAAAAGGAAUUAGAAAUCAUAUUCUAAACAAGAAAUAAUAAUAAGAAGAUAAACCUAUUACAACUAGACAUCUUAUUAUAAUUAUCUAACUUUUAUUCUAUUUACAAUAGGAUACUCCUAUAAGUAUUUUACUUAUUCUGUCCAGUCUCUUAGUUAUUAUGCUUCCUUAUUCAAUUAAAAAUGUUGGACUUGCUUUCCUCAUCCCGUCAGGACUCAUAGUUGGGUUUUAUUAUUUCAUGUUCUUUGUCAUUUAGUGUAGGGUGGGACGUUUGAUUUAAUAAAUAACAGAAAAAGUGUUCUGUUCGAAAUUUGAUCUUGCUUUAUUGCUUGAUUGUCAUGGUUGUGGCUUUUCUUCUUUUUCCCUUGUACUAGGCUCCACCUUAAGAGUGAAAGCACCAUGGUGUAGAGAUGGCCUUUUAUUUUUUGUUUGUAUCAUUAAAUUCUGUUAUGCACUUUCUGAGAUUGAAAUUAUUUAUUGAUCAAACAUUAGUGUCUAUAUUUUAGGGAACCUCUCAUUACUAAUGUCAUGGGGAGGAACUUGAUAAUUCAGG
rnacentral:lncRNA from 1 species